GCCUUUUCUGAUGGCCACUCUCCGAAAGCCUGCAUCUAAACGGCGUCUCAAAGUGAUAUCAAAAAACGAUUAGCCAUUCAUCGGCCCUAUUAACACAUACGUUAGGAAUAAUUCACAACUCCGUGAGAGGCAAUUCGCAUGUCGGCUGCAAGCAUUUUACAACUUGGGCGGCACGCGCCGCCUGGCCGCCAUUUGGUCAUUUGCAUACAGCAUGCUUGUUUACCAACACGCGCCGCCCCCGUACAUCCGGGAACUCGUUUUUGCUGGCAUCGUGACGUUUCUGGUGUUCCAAACGUUGUAUGACGAAUUUUCCGAAAUAUCAUGAACUGUUGAAGAUGUUUUUUUAAGCUUGGAUGGCAAAAAUGUCAUACUUUCCCGACUUAGAGACAAAAAAUUUAAAAAAAUAGAUCUUACGUGGCUGCGGCGGGGUCAAGGGUUAGUCGGGCCCGCCAUAUUUGCUAUAUCAUUCGCGCCAAACGUUGAGAAGUUCACCAGAGAUUUGUCCCCUUAUGUGGCGUUGCGUGUACUUGUGUCAUUCAGUGAGAUCGUGAAACACGCAAACAGAGCCUGGAGUCCGAUGGAUGGACGUGGAUAUGGCGUUUACGGCAGACCUCUGCAUGAAGCAGUACCAGUGUGGCCCCAUUUCACAUUGCCCACCCUGACCGGGCCUUCAAAUCUGUCUUUAUCUGGACCUUCCCCACUGGCCGGACCUCAGAGUCAUAACUACAAUCUUACUCCAUCUCGACCCUCGGCACUGACUGGGCUCCAGCAACAUGCAGUUCCCACAGCAUCUGGACCUUCCUCGCUGGCCGGACCUCAGAGUCAUAACUACAAUCUCACUCCAUCUCGACCCUCGGCACUGACUGGGCUCCAGCAACAUGCAGUUCCCACAGCAUCUGGACCUUCCUCGCUGGCCGGACCUCAGAGUCAUAACUACAAUCUCACUCCAUCUCGACCCUCGGCACUGACUGGGCUCCAGCAACAUGCAGUUCCCACAGCAUCUGGACCUUCCUCGCUGGCCGGACCUCAGCAACCUGUCUCGCACUCCUCAUACUUCAGUCUUCUACACAACAAUACUCUACUGCAAGGUAGAAUCCAGAAAAUGGAGGAGGAAAAAAAGGCACUGAGGUCCCAGUUGCUGGAGAUAAGUAGCUUGAACCAUAGUGCCAUGUGGGAACAUGUAAAUGUGGAGUUGAACCAGGAGAUGGUUAGAAUAACAAACUCUAGAAGCCUUCUCUGUUCGAACAUUCAGACAGUUUCAGACAUACAGAAGUUAAGCAUAACAGAUGCAAGGGUCUUUCUGACUUCGAAUGCACCACGUUUGUACCACCUCAUAUCAUCCCUGAUGAGCAGGCCAUUUCAAGAUAACGACGGACACUCAGCAGUCAUGCUGCUUUCCUCGAUUGCAAACGCGAGAAACCAAAAGUGCUCUGCCCUCCAGAAGGUCAUCGCCCUGUACCUGCUUCUUACAUCAAGCCAAUCCCAGACAGUUCAGAUGCUGAACCACACACAUCAGUGUGUGAGCAUUACAACUGCCUGGAAGGUCAUCGAGGAUUUUGCUGAGAUGAAGAAGGUGGAACAGAAGCCGGCAGAAGUUACUGAAGUCUGGGUGUACGACAAUAUAAACCUUAUGAAAAGGGUGCGCCAUGUGAGAAAAGGACAUCAUGCAGAGAUGCUGAACUGGACAACAAGGCUUGUUCUGCCAGUGAGAUCUUUGCCACCUGAUGAUUUGGGAGAUGACCCCCAGGGCUUGCGUCAGGACCUGAGUGAGGUUGACAUCUUGCCUACUGAAGAAGAUGUAGAGGAGCUCAAAACUCGCUUCAAAGAAAGAGUGAUUAGACUCCUUGUGUCCAAGUUUAAGGCUUUCCGCCACUUUGACACUUCUCACGCCCAGACAAAGCGAGUUAAGAAAUCCGAGUUUACACCCCUUGAGGUCCUUGAUCUGGAUGAGGCUAAAGCCUCUGAUAACAUCCAGAUCCUCCUGCAGUGUGCCAAGGACAGGGGUGUAGGAAACGAUGUGAAGGCCCAGGUUGUAUUUGGUGAUCAAGCGACCUGCAAAAAUAUUAGAGGGGCCAAGAGAUUGAGACAGACAGAGGACAGCAACAUCGAGAGUUUGGAUUGGGUGAAGGAAACACCAGGGGACUUCCACUUCUUGCUUGAGGCUGGCAGGACCACACUUAUGGCCUUCUGGACGUCCCCAAGGAACGUAGGAAGCCUUGGCCACCUUCGUGAUCUAGUUGACAGACGAUCUGUAGAUACCUUGGGAAAGAACUUCAAUGCUACUGAUGAGUUCCUGCACCAUUGUGAAGAGGCCCACCUCACUGCAGCUCUCCUAACCCACUUGAAGAUGGACACAAUAGAUGAUGACUUCCAUGUUGAUGGGAUCACACAGCUAACAAAACAACAAUCACAGUGUCGAUAUCUCUACAAUAUUUACAUGCAUAUACACUUCAAGUUCUUAAGAGGUAAAUAUCAGGGUUUUUUUCCAGAUGAUGACUUCCAUGUUGAUGGGAUCACACAGCUAACAAAACAACAAUCACAGUGUCGAUAUCUCUACAAUAUUUACAUGCAUAUACACUUCAAGUUCUUAAGAGGUAAAUAUCAGGGUUUUUUUCCAGAUGAUGACUUCCAUGUGGAUGGAAUCACACAGCUAGAUGACCUUGCAGUAGAAUUUGUGGAGUCAUUGACAGCCAAGCCACAUGCACAACAUCAUGAUGAUGGCCUUUUCAACCUGAACCAUAGACUCCUGUUCCAUCUACUUCUCUACACAGACCUACGAAUGGUCAUAAGGAAUGAGAAUGGACCAGCUAUCAUCCAACACUGGAAGUUCUGGCUGCUAUUGUUUGUGGGUACGGGCAGAGGGAACUACAGCUACGAGGCCAUCAAUCUGAUUGCCAAUCUCCAAGCAGAUUGGUCUCCCAAAACAGCCUGGCUUGCUACACACAACAGAACCGUCAAUUGCCAUGGCACCUCCGGUCAUGGCAAGGCCAUAGACAUGAUGAAUGAGCACUACAAUAGGGACUUCAAGUCCAUGAUGAGGGGCUCUGGCUCAAAGGUCACCAUCGCCCAUGCCAAACAAGUGUCGCUUGCCAUCCCCCUGCUGCAAGCGGCCAGGAGGUUCUGUGUUGGGGCCUUUGGUGUGAAGAGAACAAGCUCUCACACAGUGAAGUCGGCAACAGUAGACAUCGACAACAUGGUGAGAGCUAUUCAGGAAGCCCGCGUAUACACCCCCCAAGAAGGUCGCCGUAUCUCCCUGGGCAAGAGAUAUGACGACCCAAUCAUCAAGGCAUUCCAAAAGAUCAACGACGACAAGUGGCUGGCAAAGUCCCUGUUAAAGUGGACGAGGAAACACAUCCCCGAGAUGGACGAGAUAGAGGUGGACAUAGAGGCCCUCAUGGAUGAAUAGGAGGUGGUGGUGGCGGCUUGGAGAGGAGACAGCUUGCAUCUGGUUCCACAUCUCCACAGUUGCUGCAGCACUUGUCCUGCUGUGCGAUGAAUCUCUGCCCCAGGUGUUGCAAGAGAGCCUUUCUUAGACAGCCCUCCUCCGUCAUGAAGGACUGCACCUCCGGCUCGACUUUGUCCGUUUGCGACGUUUUGUAGGCAAUGAAUGCGGCCUCGACUUGAGCACUUCUCCCAGCCCGUCCCAUUUGCUGAAAUUCAAAUUGAUAUACAACAUCAUAUUGUGAUCCAUUACCGACAAGUCUGCAUGGAACACCUCCACAAGGCCACUUCCUGGGACAGCGUCAUCUAGCAAUCUCCACAGAGUCUGGCACUUUUGCUUUGUGGACAGAUUCCCCAUGACCACUGCACCGGUUAGAUGCAGGCACUCCGUUACAGCUGUUCGCACAGCUUCAGUGGCAGUGGCUGUGAGGGCCAUGAAGGGCACAUCGCGGAUGGCUGCUCGUAAAGUACCAAUCCUGCUGAAGGCUGUUCUGAAGUCGCUUCCCCUGUGAUGUUGAACAAUGCGCAAUGUGUACACUUUAGGUAGUACAUAUACUAUAUCAUCAUUUCAUCUGCAUAGUGUGCCUUGAAAUUUUGGAAAAAGUGAUGCGAAAUGAGAUGUAUAUCUAGGAAAGACAGUUUAUUAUGUAAUAUCAUAAGCAUGUCAAGAUGUGUACAUUUAUGUAUUGAAGGAAACGUCUUCUUAUAUCUUAAUUAUUUUGUAUUGAGUAAAGGUUGAGCUUGAUUUUCUUACUCUCCA